UUGGAAGUAAAAGUCGUAACAAGGUUUCCGUAGGUGAACCUGCGGAAGGAUCAUUACCGAGUGAGGGCCCUCUGGGUCCAACCUCCCACCCGUGUUUAUUUUACCUUGUUGCUUCGGCGGGCCCGCCUUAACUGGCCGCCGGGGGGCUUACGCCCCCGGGCCCGCGCCCGCCGAAGACACCCUCGAACUCUGUCUGAAGAUUGUAGUCUGAGUGAAAAUAUAAAUUAUUUAAAACUUUCAACAACGGAUCUCUUGGUUCCGGCAUCGAUGAAGAACGCAGCGAAAUGCGAUACGUAAUGUGAAUUGCAAAUUCAGUGAAUCAUCGAGUCUUUGAACGCACAUUGCGCCCCCUGGUAUUCCGGGGGGCAUGCCUGUCCGAGCGUCAUUUCUGCCCUCAAGCACGGCUUGUGUGUUGGGCCCCGUCCUCCGAUCCCGGGGGACGGGCCCGAAAGGCAGCGGCGGCACCGCGUCCGGUCCUCGAGCGUAUGGGGCUUUGUCACCCGCUCUGUAGGCCCGGCCGGCGCUUGCCGAUCAACCCAAAUUUUUAUCCAGGUUGACCUCGGAUCAGGUAGGGAUACCCGCUGAACUUAAGCAUAUCAAUAAGCGGAGGA
rnacentral:rRNA from 1 species